UACGUAGGUGGCAAGCGUUGUCCGGAUUUACUGGGCGUAAAGCGUGUGUAGGCGGACCUUUAAGUAGAAAGUGAAAGGUUGGAGCUCAACUCCAACACUGCUUCCUAUACUGGAGGUCUUGAGUGCCGGAGAGGAAGGUGGAACUGCACGUGUAGCGGUGAAAUGCGUUGAUAUGUGCAGGAACACCAAUGGCGAAGGCAAUCUUCUGGACGGAUACUGACGCUGAGACACGAAAGCCAAGGUAGCAAACAGG
rnacentral:rRNA from 1 species